UCUCUCUCUCUCUCUCUUUUUCCUUCUUCGCACAAUCAACGACGACGACACCUGCUCUCUCUCCUCUUCCUUAUUUGCUCCAUCAACGACGACACCCUUUCUCUCAUCUUCCUUCUUCUCACGCGAAGCUCUAUUUUUCAUCUAGUGAGAGUAGAGGCUACCUAGAUUGGUGGGCAAAAGAAGAGUAGAACUACCCAAGAGCAAGGCAACUCAAAAUUGGACACUGCGCAGUAUGAAGCUCUUCUCAAAAGUGGUGACCAAGUCACUUCUGUUCUUGAAGAGAUGAUCACCCUUGUGAAUAAAGGGCAACGGAGUUAGUCCCCUGCAGGCGGUGGUGGCCGACGACAUGUGGUUGGCUGCGGGCGACAGCUGGUGGCUGGUGGCAAGCGUCCCGCAGUGGCGGCGGCGGGUGGUCGACGAGUGGCUGGCCGGCGGUGGCGGUUGGCUGGAUGUGGACAUGUGACAUAGUAUGCUUGCUUUAUGUUACGUCUACCCGAGUGCAAGUAGUCACACGUAGUAAUAAUCUUGGAAGUCCAAGUAUCGUAUCCUCAAAGAGCAGGUAGGCAAAUGUCUGCACACAAAGAAAUAAUUAAAAGUACCAAAAUAAAAGUGACAAGCAAAAUGGACA